GAUGAACGCUAGCGGCAGGCCUAACACAUGCAAGUCGAGGGGCAGCACGUCUUCGGAUGGUGGCGACCGGCGCACGGGUGCGUAACGCGUAUGCAACCUACCUCUUACAGUGGGAUAGCCCAGAGAAAUUUGGAUUAAUACCGCAUAGUAUACAGAUUCAGCAUUGGGACUGUAUUAAACAUUUAUGGGUAAGAGAUGGGCAUGCGUUCUAUUAGUUAGUUGGAGUGGUAACGGCACCCCAAGACAGCGAUAGAUAGGGCCCGUGAGAGGGGAGUCCCCACCACUGGUACUGAGACACGGACCAGACUCCUACGGGAGGCAGCAGUGAGGAAUAUUGGACAAUGGCGAGAGCCUGAUCCAGCCAU
rnacentral:rRNA from 1 species